ensembl:lncRNA PENK-AS1 PENK antisense RNA 1
CCGGAGAGAACGCCGCAGACCAGGGGCGAGAGAGCGGGAGCCGGGGGAGGCAGGACAUUGACUGGGGUCACAAAGAAGAACCAGGGAACGCUGUUGGGGAACCCAUGCAAUGAAAUGUGAAGGGAAAGAGGGCGGGCAGACGUCCCCAAACCCGCUCAGCAAAGACAAGCUUCGGGCAAAUUCACUCACGUUGACGCUGUUCGGAUGGAGCAGGCCAAUUGGAAAAGCCGGGUUCAGACACGACUCUAGAGGGAAGAGAAGAAGGAAGCUGAACUGACACGAAACAAAAGAAGUCCGUUGUUUUGGAUUGAGUUCCAUACUUGGCUGGCCCAGAGGUUGAUCUCACCACCAUUCAGAUAUCCAAGAAGAAGCCACCUGUUGGAUUUAAGAAAACCCAGGCAGAUUUGGCAGUCUUCUUGAAAGGAAGUAAUGCUUAUUGUGGUCAGAAGAAAGAGUGAGGCAACUCAGGGUCUGAAAAAAGAGACAUGAAGAAAGCUGAGGACCAAUCCAUUCCAAGGUUCACUGUGGAAAUGGGGCCCAACCCUUAAAAGGUCACCAAUAAUGUGGAAUCCAUUUCGUGGAGACAAGCUACUUUUAGUCAAAAAUUGUAAGGCACGGUUUGUCAAGAUGGCCGAUACACAACAGCUCCAGUCUACGCAUCCCAGCAUGAGCGAUGCAGAAGACGGGUGAUUUCUGCAUUUCCAACUGAGGUACCGGGUUCAUCUCACUGAAGCUUGUCGGACAGUGGGCUCAGGACAGUGGGUGAAGCCCACUGAGCAUGAGCCGAAGCAGGGCGAGGCAUCGCCUCACCCAGGAAGUGCAAGGGAUCAGAGAAUUCCCUUUCCUAGCCAAGGAAAGCUGUGACAGAUGGCACCUGGAAAAUUAGGUCACUCCCACCUUAAUAUUGCGCUUUUCCAGUGGUCUUAGCAAACAACACACCAGGAGUUUAUAUCCCGCGCCUGGCCCAGAGGGUCCCACACCCACAGAGUCUAGCUCAUUGCUAGCAGAGCAGCCUGAGAUCGAACUGCAAGGCAGCAGCAAGGCUGGGAGAGGAGCACCCACCAUUGCUGAGGCUUGAGUAGGUAAACAAAGCGGCUAGGAAACUUGAACUGGGUGGAGCCCACUGCAGCUCAAGGAGGCCUGCCUGCCUCUGUAGACUCCACCUCUGCAGCCAGGGCACAGCUGAACAAAAGGCAGCAGAAACCUCUGCAGACUUAAAUGUCCCUGUCUGACAGUUUGGAAGAGAGUAGUGGUUCUCCCAGCACGCAGCUGGAGAUCUGAGAAUGGACAAACUGCCUCCUCAAGUGGGUCCCUGACCCCCAAGUAGCCUAGCUGGGAGGCAUUCCCCAGUAGGGGCAGAAUGACACCUCACAUGGCCGGGUACCCCUCUGAGACGAAGCUUCCAGGGGAAAGAUCAGGCAGCAACAUUUGCUGUUCAGCAAUAUUCGCUGUUCUGCAGCUUCUGCUGCUGAUACCUAGGCAAACAGCGUCUGGAGUGGACCUCCAGCAAACUCCAACAGACCUGCAGAUGAGGAUCCUGACUGUUAGAAGGAAAACUAACAAACAGCAAGGACAUCCACACCAAAACCCCAUCUGUACGUCACCAUCAUCAAAGAACAAAAUGAUAAAACCACAAAAAUGGGGAAAAAACAGAGCAGAGAAGCUGAAAAUUCUAAAAAUCAGAGUGCCUCUCCCCCUCCAAAGGAAUGCAGCUCCUCGUCAACAAUGGAACAAAGCUGGAUGGAGAGUGACUUUGAUGAGUUGAGAGAAGAAGGCUUCAGACGAUCAAACUUCUCCGAGCUAAAGAAGGAAGAUCGAACCCAUCCCAAAGAAGCUAAAAAACUUUAAAAAAGAUUAGACAAAUGGCUAACUAGAAUAUCCAGUGUAGAGAAGUCCUUAAAUGAUCUGUUGGAGCUGAAAACCAUGGCAUGAGAACUACGCGAUGCAUGCACAAACUUCAGUAGCCCUGCAAGAGCUCCUGAGGGAAGCACUAAACAUGGAAAGGAACAACUGGUAUCAGCCACUGCAAAAACAUGCCAAAUUGUAAAGACCAUCAAGGCUAGGAAGAAACUGCAUCAACUAAUGAGCAAAAUAACCAGCUAACAUCAUAAUGACACAAUCGAAUUCACACAUAACAAUAUUAACCUUAAAUGUAAAUGGGCUAAAUUCUCCAAUUAAAAGACACAGAUUGGCAAAUUGGAUAAACAGUCAAGACCCAUCAGUGUGCUGUAUUCAGGAGACCCAUCUCACGUGCAGAGACACACAUAGGCUCAAAAUAAAGGGAAGGAGGAAGAUCUACCAAGCAAAUGGAAAACAAAAAAAGGCAGGGGUUGCAAUCCUAGCCUCUGACAAAACAGACUUUAAACCAACAAAGAUCAAAGGAGACAAAGAAGGCCAUUAUAUAAUGGUAAAGGGAUCAAUUCAAGAAGAAGAGCUAACUAUCCUAAAUAUAUAUGCACCCAAUACAGAAGCACCCAGAUUCAUAAAGCAAGUCCUUAGAGACCUACAAAGAGACUUAGACUUCCAAACAAUAAUAAUGGGAGAUUUUAACACCCCACUGUCAACAUUAGACUGAUCAACAAGACACAAAGUUAACAAGGAUAUCCAGGAAUUGAACUCAGCUCUGCACCAAGCGGACCUAAUAGACAUCUACAGAACUCUCCACCCCAAAUCAACAGAGUAUACAUUAUUCUCAGCACCACACCACACUUAUUCCAAAAUUGACCACAUAGUUGGAAGUAAAGCACUCCUCAGCAAAUGUAAAAGAACAGAAAUUAUAACAAACUGUCUCUCAGACCAAGUGCAAUCAAACUAGAACUCAGGAUUGAGAAACUCACUCAAAACUGCUCAACUACAUGGAAACCAAACAACCUGCUCCUCAGUGACUACUGGGUACAUAAAGAAAUGAAGGCAGAAAUAAAGAUGUUCUUAGAAACCAAUAAGAACAAAGACACAACAUACCAGAAUCUCUGGGACACAUUUAAAGCAGUGUGUAGAGGGAAAUUUAUAGCACUAAAUGCCCACAAGUGAAAGCAGGAAAGAUCUAAAUUUGACACCCUAACAUCACAAUUGAAAGAACUAGAGAAGCAAGAGCAAACACAUUCAAAAGCUAGCAGAAGGCAAGAAAUAACUAACAUCAGAGCAGAACUGAAGGAGAUAGAGACAGAAAAAAAUCCUUCAAAAAAUCAAUGAAUCCAGGAGCUGGGUUUUUGAAAAGAUCAACAAAAUUGAUAGACCACCAGCAAGACUAAUAAAGAAGAAAAGAGAGAAGAAUCAAAUAGACACAAUAAAACAUGAUAAAGGGGAUAUCACCACCGAUCCCACAGAAAUACAACUACCAUUAGAGAAUACUAUAAACACCUCUACACAAAUAAACUGGAAAAUCUAGAAGAAAUGGAUAAAUUCUUUGACACAUACACCCUCCCAAGUCUAAACUAGGAAGAAGUUGAAUCCCUGAAUAGACUAAUAACAGGCUCUGAAAUUGAGGCUAUAAUUUAUAGCCUACCAACCAAAAAAAGUCCAGGACCAGAGAGAUUCACAGCUGAAUUCUACCAGAGUUACAAGGAGGAGCUGGUAUCAUUCCUUCUGAAACUAUUCCAAUCAAUAGAAAAAGAGGGAAUCCUCCCUAACUCAUUUUAUGAGGCCAGCAUCAUCCUCAUACCAAAGCCUGGCAGAGACACAACAAAAAAAGAAAAUUUUAGAUCAAUAUCCUUGAGGAACAUUGAUGCAAAAAUCCUCAAUAAAAUACUGGCAAGCUGAAUCCAGCAGCCCAUCAAAAAAAAGCAUGAUCAAGUGGGCUUCAUCCCUGGGAUGCAAGGCUGGUUCAACACACGCAAAUCAAUAAACGUAAUCCAGCAUAUAAGCAGAACCAAAGACAAAAACCACAUGAUUAUCUCAAUAGAUGCAGAAAAGGCCUUUGACAAAAUUCAACAGCCCUUCAUGCUAAAAACUCUCAAUAAAUUAGGUAUUGAUGGGACAUAUCUCAAAAUAAUAAGAGCUAUUUAUGGAUUGAUGUUUUUAUACAUAUUAGACUGUUUUGAUGAGAUGGCCUUGCCAAGUAGGUGUUUGUUUUGUUUAUUUUCUUCCUUCUGUGUAAAGAUUUUUAAUUCCUUGAACCAUCCUCUAGUUCCUAUGGUUUUCUCAUUGUUCUCUUAGGAAAGUGAAAGGUAAUAGGAAAUAUGCACUCUUUACCCUUUCUUUGUUCUCGGGGGGCAUUGUGAUGUUACCUUGAGUCCUGUAUUGAGUUUUCAGUGACAAUGCUAUGAGGCAUGUGAGUAAGCAUUUAAUAAUGACCAAGAACUAAGUCAGAUUCAAACCCAGCAAUACAGAAUUCUCAUUUUAAUUUCAAGUUAUGGAUAUUUGUCUUUGAUUUUUAUGGAUUUUCCCAUUUUUAAACAAACAAGUUUUCAAUGCUUAUCUUCUCAGUAAGAGAUGGGAAGGCCUAUGAACAUUUUAGCAACCCAAAAGAUGAUUCCUCAGUUUUUUCCUAAGGGGAAUGUUUUAUUUAUAGGUAAUCAAAGGAAAUGUUUGUUUCCACAGGGAAGUAUGGAUAAAAUAUAAAAUCUGUUUUUCAGUAUCAACUAGGGUUCACUAGGCAGUAUGUUGGUACAGAGAUGUAAAUGUGAAAAGGAAAAAUGUGAAGAAGAAUUAUUUUUAAAUAUAAGUUGCCACUUCUGUAACUCCCCCACCCCAAAAAAGAGAUUAGAGUUGUCCAAGAUAGCUGUAAACUUGAGUUCCUAUUAAUUUGCAUAUAUAUUCAGGGAAUGAGAUUAAAUUAACAAAGGAGGAGAGAAAGCAACUCUGGACCUGGAGCACAACUGCUGUUGUGUUGAUGCAGAAAAUGACUGGCUCACAGACUUUCUGCAGAAGCUGCCACAAUUCUUUGAGUUGUGUUAAGAAAAAACUCUGGAGCUCAAGAGAGUCUGGCUUUGAAUCUAGGCUUCACCAUUUAUGGAUUAUAUGAAUUUAAGCAUAUUACUUAACCUCUAGGUUCAGUUACCUUGUCUAUAAAGUGGGCACCAACAAAAUACCUUGAAGUUUUAAAAAAAAAUAGAACUAAGUAAGUUAAUAUUUGUGUAACUCAUGCUGCAGUUUCUGACAAAAUAAAAAUUCUUAAGUGUUUACCUUUUUAUAUUACUCAACUAACAAGUAUUUACCACUAAUAUUUGACAUGUAAUUAAAAUUUUCAAACAUUUAAUUUUUUUCCUUGUGUUAAGAUAAAAUUAUAGUGACAUUAAUAAAAAGAUAACAGGUAAGGAUUGUCCUUUGGUUAACUUCGGUUAAUUUUAAGUGGUGUUAGUGUGAUAUGACUUUAGCAUUACUCAUUAUUGGUUAUUCUAUGUAUCAGUUAGGGGAGAGAAAUCAUCCAGAAAUUUGAACAGGGAAAGAUGAACAUAAAGAAUUAUUAACUGUAACAGGAGACUGGAGUAAGGAGUGUUUGGCUAAUAAGAACUAGAGGAAUAUUGGCAUAGCAGCUGGAAGGAGCUGCCAUUCCCCGAGGCACUGGCAGGACUUGCUGGAAAUCCACCCUCUGGAACUCACUGGAGAUAUUCCUUCUAAGGUGACAAGGGAAGCUGUUUGUGGGAAUGUAUUUCCCAGGAGGCACUGAGCCUUUGCACCCAGUGCCCAAGAGAGACUGUAGGAGGCAGCUGCUGGGUGCCAGGCACCCCUGGCUGCCUUGCCCUGCAGGAGCCUGGGAGUAUGGGGGAGCUGUCUGCCCUGCAGGAACCUGUCUAGAACAGGAAGCAAAACACUUGUGCAGUAUCUCACCAGUGGCCUUUACUGACAAAGCUUAAUAUCAUAACAUUUAGCAAAGCGAAAAUACUUUAGUGGCUCAGAACCAUUUUCACAGAGCAAGCAAAAAGGGUGAAUUUGGAGCUGAGCGUGAGUAAGUGGCUAACUCUGCUAGUAGGAGAAACACUUUUCCAAAUAUUUAUGUGAAAUAUAUAUGGUAAGACUUAUGAAAUGAGAGAAUGUAAAGAUACAAAGUACCUGAGAGCUUACCCCUGGUCAGUUACAGAGAGCCUGAACUGCCUUGUUUUUGUCUUUUAGUACAUUUGUUUUUCUUGUAGUGAACUUGGAAUGUAAAGCUUGAAUUGACAGACCCUACAAGAAGCAACAUUAUGAAAUUUGGGUUUAUGGUUAUAAAAACAUUGUUAAAAACAUUAUUCAUCAUGCUACAUAGAGUUUUCCAAUGAGUACUCUGUGAAGAAUUCUGUCUGGUUGCAGUUCUGAUGAGCAAUAGAUCUUGUUUCUCUUAAGACAUGAAACACAGCAGAGCAGUAGCUAUCCUGAAGUUGGGGUCAUUAAACACUAGUCAACACUGGAUAUUGAUUUGUGCAACUGAUGAGAUUAGGAGGCAGUUUAAAUAAGAAAUUAAUCAAAGGCGGAGAUUAAAAAAACAACAGGAAACAUGCAUGAGACUAAUACAAACAUUGAUAAUGUAAAUGUACUUCCUAGGGUAGAAUAUAAAUUUUUCCCUAAAGUUUCUUUCCAGCAGCUUUAUGAAUUAAUUGGUAUUUGAUUGAUUGAUUGACAACUCCAGUUAUUAACUAAAUUGAAUCAGCUGGGAAACAUUGCCUGGAUUACUUCCUCAGAAUUAUUUCUGCACAGGGACUAUAUGAUUGAAUGUAAUCAAAUAGACUCAAGAAAGAAUUAAAUUCUUUAAAGUCACUUAGGCUUUUAAUUUUUUCCCUCCUUUUUUGUUUUUGUCUAAUAAUUGAAUACUCAUUUAAAAAAUGUGUUAUUGAUAUAUCUAAGGAAUUAAAUGUCAUUGAACUAAUGUUACCUGUAACGAGGAAGAAAUUGUUAUUG